ACUGCUCAGUAACACGUGGACAACCUGCCCAAAGGUCCGGGAUAACCCCGGGAAACUGGGGAUAAUACUGGAUAAAUCACAAGUACUGGAAGGUUUUGUGGUUGAAACUUCCGGGGCCUUUGGAUGGGUCUGCGGCGGAUUAGGUUGUUGCCGGUGUAACGUACCGUCAAGCCUGUAAUCCGUACGGGUUGUGGGAGCAAGAGCCCGGAGAUGGAUUCUGAGACACGAAUCCAGGCCCUACGGGGCGCAGCAGGCGCGAAAACUCUACAAUGCAGGCAACUGCGAUAGGGGAACAUCGAGUGAUACUCAUCUUGGGUGUCUGUCCUCCCGUCUAAAAAACGGGAGUUAGCAAGGGCCGGGCAAGACCGGUGCCAGCCGCCGCGGUAAUACCGGCGGCUCGAGUGGUGGCCGAUAUUAUUGAGUCUAAAGGGUCCGUAGCCGGCUUUGCAAGUCUUUUGGGAAAUCCAGCGGCUUAACCGUUGGUCGUCCGGGAGAUACUACAUUGCUUGGGACUGGGAGAGGUAGGAGGUACUCAGGGGGUAGGAGUGAAAUCCUGUAAUCCUUUGGGGACCACCGGUGGCGAAGGCGUCCUACCAGAACAGGUCCGACGGUGAGGGACGAAAGCUAGGGGCACGAACCGGAUUAGAUACCCGGGUAGUCCUAGCCGUAAACGAUGCUCGCUAGGUGUCACAACAAUCGUGAAUUGUUGUGGUGCCGUAGGA
rnacentral:rRNA from 1 species